rnacentral:rRNA from 1 species
AUUGAACGCUGGCGGCAGGCCUAACACAUGCAAGUCGAGCGCGAAAAUUCCUUCGGGGAUGAGUAGAGCGGCGGACGGGUGAGUAAUGCGCAGAAAUCUGCCCAGUAGUGGGGGACAACCUGGUGAAAACCAGGCUAAUACCGCAUACGCCCUACGGGGAAAGGACAGGGAGUCUUCGGACCUUGCGCUAUUGGAUGAGUCUGCGUCGGAUUAGCUUGUUGGUGAGGUAAUGGCUCACCAAGGCGACGAUCCGUAGCUGGUCGUGAGAGGAUGAUCAGCCACACUGGGACUGAGACACGGCCCAGACUCCUACGGGAGGCAGCAGUGGGGAAUAUUGGACAAUGGGCGAAAGCCUGAUCCAGCCAUGCCGCGUGUGUGAAGAAGGCUCUAGGGUUGUAAAGCACUUUCAGUGGGGAGGAAAGCUUGUUAGCUAAUAACUGACGAGUGUGACAUUACCCACAGAAGAAGCACCGGCUAACU